rnacentral:rRNA from 3 species
AACUUUCAACAACGGAUCUCUUGGUUCUGGCAUCGAUGAAGAACGCAGCGAAAUGCGAUACGUAGUGUGAAUUGCAGAAUUCAGUGAAUCAUCGAAUCUUUGAACGCACAUUGCGCCCUUUGGUAUUCCAAAGGGCAUGCCUGUUCGAGC